ensembl:lncRNA
GCGCCCGCAGGUGCCUGUGCCUGUGUAUCCCGACAAUAAACCAAAUCCUCUUGCUGAUUGCAUCCUGUGGUGUCUCGGUCUGGUCUUUGGAGUUGGAGGGUCUCCAUCCCGAGGGAAAGUUCUCCCUGAGAGCUUUUCAUUUGGUGCAUUGGCCGGGAAAGGAGAUCCUCCACCCAGGGACCACCGACCACCCACUGGGAGGUAAGCCGGCCGGCGUCUGUCUGAUUCUGUCUCCUUCUGCCUUAUUCUGUCUGUUCUGUGAGCGCUCAGCCAGGUCUGUUCUGUGAGUGCUCAGCCAGGUUCUGUGAGCGCUCAGCCAGGUCUGUUCUGUGAGCGCUCAGCCAGGUUGUUUGGAAUUUGGGCGGGACGAAGAAGGAGCUGACGAGCUCGGACUUCUCGCCCCGCAGCCCUGGAAGACGUUCCAAGGGUGUUGGGGCCCGACUUUUCGGGGCCCAAUCUGGGAGAGGAGAAAGAUCCGGACUAACGGCACCUCUGUCUGUAUUUUUGGCUUUCAGAGGGCCCCGGACCUUUGCCACCUCCAUCUGACUUUUUGCUUUCAGUUUGGUACCAAAGCCGUGCAGCACGCCUGUCUGUUGUUUGUUUGACUGUUGGUGUUGUUUGUUUUCUCUGUGUUCUAAUCUUCCUUAGAACUAACAUGG